GUGCUCGCUUCGGCAGCACAUAUACUAAAAUUGGAACAAUACCGAGAUCAGCAUGGCGCCUGCGCAAAGAUGACACGCAAAUUCGUGAAGCGUUCCAUAAAAUA
rnacentral:snRNA from 1 species